GAUGAAGAACGUAGCGAAAUGCGAUAAGUAAUGUGAAUUGCAGAAUUCAGUGAAUCAUCGAAUCUUUGAACGCACAUUGCGCCCGCCAGUAUUCUGGCGGGCAUGCCUGUUCAAGCGUCAUUACAACCCUCAGGCCCCCGGGCCUGGCGUUGGGGAUCGGCGAGGCGCCCCCCGCGGGCACGCGCCGUCCUCCAAAUACAGUGGCGGUCCCGCCGCAGCUUCCAUUGCGUAGUAGCUAACACCUCGCAACUGGAGAGCGGCGCGGCCAUGCCGUAAAACACCCAACUUCUGAAUGUUGACCUCGAAUCAGGUAGGAAUACCCGCUGAACUUAAGCAUAUCAAUAAGCGGAGGA
rnacentral:misc_RNA from 1 species